UACGUAGGGUGCAAGCGUUAAUCGGAAUUACUGGGCGUAAAGCGUGCGCAGGCGGUUUUGUAAGACAGGCGUGAAAUCCCCGGGCUCAACCUGGGAAUUGCGCUUGUGACUGCAAGGCUGGAGUGCGGCAGAGGGGGAUGGAAUUCCGCGUGUAGCAGUGAAAUGCGUAGAUAUGCGGAGGAACACCAAUGGCGAAGGCAAUCCCCUGGGCCUGUACUGACGCUCAUGCACGAAAGCGUGGGGAGCAAACAGGAUUAGAUACCCUGGUAGUCCACGCCCUAAACGAUGUCAACUGGUUGUUGGACGGCUUGCUGUUCAGUAACGAAGCUAACGCGUGAAGUUGACCGCCUGGGGAGUACGGCCGCAAGGUUGAA
rnacentral:rRNA from 1 species